ACAAAGAUUAAUUUAACAUUUUCUCUGGAAGUAUUAAUUUAGAAAGAUAAUAUGCUUCAUUGGUGUUGUGUUUUGAAGUGUGAAAUGCAAAGUAAUUGUGAUAAAGUCAAGAUAAAGUUCACUUUUAAACUGAACUAAAUAAGGUAUCUGAGAGACAACAAUGGUUAAAUGCAAUACAAUGUACAGGUUUUACUAGCGAAAUGAAAAUUUUCCUGUCCUGUCUGCUGUAAUCAUUUUAUAUCUGGAAAACCAGCCGACUUAAUCGAUAAUAACAAUCUCCAGAAAUAUUCAUAUUGAAAUUAUUUAUAAGGCACUGGACUGUCUUAAAUUCUACAAUAAUACUAGAAUCAGCUGAGAGAAGUGGUCUACAAAAAACCAGGAAGGAAACGGAAUAUGUGGCUACGAAAGGCAAAAGAAAGGUUUACAAAGCAAAUGUGACACAUUUUUUUGAAAUAUUUAGGAAUAUCAGUAA